CAAGGUCCCUUGGCCCACAUUAAUGUGUUGUCCCAAUUAAAAGAUGACACAAAAAUGGUGGGUUGGCCUGGUGGCAAUUGACUUGAGCCUUGGGGUGCUCCCUUUCAAGGUCUCAAGUUCGAAACCCGCUGGGUGCCAACAAUUUCUGAGGGCCAUCGGACUGGGGAAACCUUGAAUUACCCGUGGUGCACUUGCGGGAAACUCCUUGCCGAGGGCCUGUGCACCCCCGGGAUUAGUCGGGGCUCAAAGAGACUCGGACACCCGGUGCUUAAUCAAAA